rnacentral:rRNA from 1 species
AGCCUGAACGCUGGCGGCGUGGCUAAGACAUGCAAGUCGUACGGAUGUAGCAAUACAUCAGUGGCGAACGGGUGAGUAAAGAAUCGCUAAUGUGCCCCGGACUCUGGGAUAGCCGGUCGAAAGGCCGGGUAAUACCAGAUGACAUAUUCCUUCUGCAUGGAGGGAAUCUCAAAGGUCCGCCGGUCUGGGAGCAGGCGAUUUCGUAUCAGCUAGUUGGUGAGGUAACGGCUCACCAAGGCGACGACGCGUAGCCGGACUGAGAGGUUGGCCGGCCACAUUGGGACUGAGACGCUGCCCAGACUCCUACGGGGGGCUGCAGUAACGAAUCUUCCGCAAUGCACGAAAGUGUGACGGAGCGACGCCGCGUGGAGGACGAAGCCCUUCGGGGUGUAAACUCCUGUCGAGGGGGAAGAAGUUCUGAUCUACCCCAGAGGAAGAGGCGGCUAACUCUGUGCCAGCAGCCGC